rnacentral:rRNA from 1 species
GACGAACGCUGGCGGCGUGCUUAACACAUGCCAGUCGAACGGAAAGGCCCUGCUUGCAGGGUACUCGAGUGGCGAACGGGUGAGUAACACGUGGGUGAUCUGCCCUGCACUUCGGGAUAAGCCUGGGAAACUGGGUCUAAUACCGGAUAUGACCUUCCAUGUAGUGUGGGGGGUGGAAAGAUUUAUCGGUGUGGGAUGAGCCCGCGGCCUAUCAGCUUGUUGGUGGGGUAAUGGCCUACCAAGGCGUCGACGGGUAGCCGGCCUGAGAGGGUGGACGGCCACAUUGGGUCUGAGAUACGGCCCAGACUCCUACGGGAGGCAGCAGUGGGGAAUAUUGCACAAUGGGCGGAAGCCUUAUGCAGCGACGCCGCGUGGGGGAUGACGGCCUUCGGGUUGUAAACCUCUUUCGACAGGGACGAAGCUUCGGUGACGGUACCUGUAUAAGAAGCACCGGCUAACUACGUG